rnacentral:lncRNA from 1 species
AUUAUAAGGCAGUUCAUAGAUGCUGCUGCUGCUGCUGCUAGCAUUUCAUCUGCUGAGAAUCACACUCAGUAGCAACAGCCGUCCAAGAUACAGCCCUGCGGGGCUUUGAGUGUUAACGUUGGGUGCAUAGUGAUGAGGCUUUUUUAAAGCCUUGAAACGGGGCCAACUGGUAAUACCUAAGGAACACAGAGUCUCACACUGUCGCCCAGGCUGGAGUGCAAUGGCACAAUCUCGGCUCACUACAACCUCUGCCUCCCAGGUUCAAGCGAUUCUCCUGCCUCAGCCUCCCAUCUUCAAAUAUUUUUGUACCCUUAUCUUAUUUUUUCAGGAACUCCAGUUUCACAAAUAUUAGCCCAAGUGAAAUUGGCCCACAGAUCACUGAUCCUCUGUUCAUUAAAAAAAAAAUAAAAGUCUCUGUGAUGGUUGAUUUUGGGUAUCAACUUGCCUGGAUUAAGGGACACUUAGGUACCUGGGAAAGCAUUGUUUAUUCUCAGUGCUUCAGUGGGCACUGAGCACAUCCCUUUUCUGCUGAAAGGGAAACCCAGAUGGCUUGCCAUUUGAUUGGAAUGAUUGGGCUCCCCCAGGAAUGUUUGAGAGGGUGUUUCCAGAUGACAUUGGCAUAUGAGUUGGUGGACUGAGUGGGGAAGAUCUAGCUUCAAUGUGGAUGGACAUCAUCCAAUCAGCUGG